rnacentral:rRNA from 1 species
GAUGAACGCUGGCGGCGUGCCUAAUACAUGCAAGUCGAGCGAACAGACGAGGAGCUUGCUCCUCUGACGUUAGCGGCGGACGGGUGAGUAACACGUGGAUAACCUACCUAUAAGACUGGGAUAACUUCGGGAAACCGGAGCUAAUACCGGAUAAUAUAUUGAACCGCAUGGUUCAAUAGUGAAAGACGGUUUUGCUGUCACUUAUAGAUGGAUCCGCGCCGCAUUAGCUAGUUGGUAAGGUAACGGCUUACCAAGGCAACGAUGCGUAGCCGACCUGAGAGGGUGAUCGGCCACAAUGGAACUGAGACACGGUCCAGACUCAUACGGGAGGCAGCAGUAGGGAAUGUUCCGCAAUGGGCGAAAGCCUGACGGAGCAACGCAGCGUGAGUGAUGAAGGUCUUCGGAUCGUAAAACUCUGUUAUUAGGGAGGAACAAAUGUGUAAGUAACUAUGCACGUCUUGACGGUACCUAAUCAGAAAGCCACGGCUAACUACGUG